rnacentral:tRNA from 1 species
GCUUUAUAGUCAUUGUAUGAUGUUAGACUGCAAUUCUAAAGGAGUAGAUAAAACUACUAAGGCUU